rnacentral:tRNA from 1 species
CACGGGAAAUGGUCGGGAUAGCUCAGUUG